UACGGAGGGAGCUAGCGUUGUUCGGAAUUACUGGGCGUAAAGCGCGCGUAGGCGGUUAUUCAAGUCAGAGGUGAAAGCCCGGGGCUCAACUCCGGAACUGCCUUUGAAACUAGAUAGCUUGAAUCCAGGAGAGGGUAGUGGAAUUCCCGGUGUAGUGGUGAAAUGCGUAGAUAUCGGGAGGAACACCAGUGGCGAAGGCGGCGACCUGGGUAGAUACUGACGCUGAGGUGCGAAAGCGUGGGGAGCAAACAGG
rnacentral:rRNA from 1 species